rnacentral:lncRNA from 1 species
CGCUGCGCUGUGUUCUCCUUCUACAGCUGGCUUGGUAAUGAUCUGCAAGUCCCGGAGUGCCUCUGCACAGCUCUGCCCAACGCUCUCAUUAAAAUCUACGCAGCCAACCUCGGCGCUUUGUACCAGCAGCCGCCUGGCUUAAGCCACCCUGGCUGGUGGGGCUCCCAAACCCAGGCAGCACAAGGGUCCUCUGGGCUCUGCUCAUGCAGAUGGACCCCGGGAAAGAUCACAACACAAAAAAAAAAACAAAAACGCUUUUUAUUCCUAAAAUUUGCUGUUCCUUUAAGAAAGGACUCUAUGCAAUUAACCAUGUGUCUUUGUGAAUCCUCUAACUAUUAAAUGCAAAGUUUAGUGAUUAUUUUAGAGGCCGGUAGUGGGUAGGAGACCGGGAGGGUGACCCAUCCAUCCCAGCCAGUCUGGAGUGCCCGCCAGGGACAAUUCACACAUUCCAAGGGAGUGUCCCCAAGGUGGGUCUCCCAAUUUAAAAGCCACUGGGCGAUCUCAAGGGGUGAGGGGAAGCUCUUGUCCUAAUUUAGAGCUUGCCUGAUCCCCCAGGAAUGACCCUGUCCAGUGUCACCGAGGAGCCCGAGCUGGGAAAAAACGGCCUUGGCUUUGCAGCAAUGACUUGUUCAAAUCAAGGACUCCCCUGGCUCUGGUGACCCCGCCUCAGCAUUCUCCCUGUGUCUUCACCUGAGCCAUUAGCCUACUCCCAUUGCGGCACCCUGCCCCCCGCCGGCCCAGGGCAACUCUUGUCACAGUUAUUCAGGGCCUUACCCUAAGGUGUGCCCCAAAUCCAGGAGCGACCUUUACUCAGGAACAGAGGGGCACUUCCUAUCUGGGGAGGCGGAACACCAAUAAUAAAUGACCUGGCUGGGGGAGGGGAAUCCGAGCAGUCGUUACAGACACAUGCCUCUCAUGUGCCUCAUCUUAGUUCUUACAGUGCCUCAAAGCAGGGUAGGGAACAAUUUUGUUAUUGCAUUAACUUUAUUCAGUUAAUUCACUUGAGAAACUAACCAAUUUUUACUUUCUGUCUAGAAUGAUGUAGACCUAGAAGAGCAAGCUGUAAUGCUCCCAGAGUGCCUUAUUUUCUCUGAUAUAAAUAUAUUUAUAAGGACAGAUAUUCCAGUGGUAACUCUGGCUUCUUGGGUGAGUCUGUCAUGCUGAGAUUUAGGGAGAAGUAGGUGUGGGUGGAUGUGUGUGUGGGGGGGAAGGCACUGUUGCUGUGAGAAUCCCAUCACACCGGGCGAUUGAGCUGGAUUCAGAAGUAUUUGCUGAAAGAUCCCAGUUGGAGGGGACGAGUCAGUCCACAGAAGCAGAGUGCCAUUUAACCCUUGCCCUCAGUGGCGUCACUGCCCCCCCUUCCUCCCAAACCUUGACAAAGGCACCCAGUUUUCCAGAGUAGUCCACGGUUGUGUGUCUUGCCUCAUUUGCAGCCCCGUGUUUGUCUUCC